UGUUUCUUUCGCUCCCAGGCCCUUCGUGGUCACAUUUAAUGAAGUAAAGCCGCAAAACCUCGCCUAGUUUACUGGGAGGCUUCGGGAGGAUCUUGAGACAAGAGAGUCCCCAGACAGGUGAGAAGCAACUAGGAUGGAAGUCCUCAAGCACCCCACACUCAAGCCAUCUUGACUGAAUUACUUGUGGUUUUACACAGUGUGCUCCCUAAUGAAUGGCUGAGCAGGCAGGAGGACUUCUCAGAAAGAGGAAAAGAGAUGACCAACUCUACAGGGACUUUUU